rnacentral:rRNA from 1 species
GACGUAGGGCGCGAGCGUUGUCCGGAUUUAUUGGGCGUAAAGAGCUCGUAGGCGGCUUGGCAAGUCGGGUGUGAAACCUCCAGGCUCAACCUGGAGACGCCACUCGAUACUGCCAUGGCUAGAGUCCGGUAGGGGACCACGGAAUUCCUGGUGUAGCGGUGAAAUGCGCAGAUAUCAGGAGGAACACCGGUGGCGAAGGCGGUGGUCUGGGCCGGCACUGACGCUGAGGAGCGAAAGCGUGGGUAGCAAACAGG